rnacentral:snRNA from 1 species
UACUUCUUCGGUGAUACUCAAAUAUUUAAAUUGGGACGACACAGAGUAGAUUAGCAUUACCUCCGUGCAAUGAUGUCACGCAAAAAUCGUUUCACAUUUUU